GGACCGUCUUCCAUAUAUCUACUGACUUCAUAUAAAUGAAAGUCUCGCUGAUCUGCACAACCAGCUCAUGUUCAACGUUACUGAACUACAAAGUAAUCCGACAAUCAGACUGGACCCGGUCAUAUCAGAAUCCAGAGGUAGGAAAUGAACAUACAAUCGACUCCGCAUCGAUGCAUGACCUCGCCCGGAACGCGGCAAG